GACAGAGGAGGCGAGCGUUAUUCGGAAUCACUGGGCUUAAAGGGUGCGUAGGCGGCUCGGCAAGUUGGGUGUGAAAGCCCUCGGCUCAACCGAGGAAUUGCGCCCAAAACUGCCGGGCUAGAGGGAGACAGAGGUGAGCGGAACUUAGGGUGGAGCGGUGAAAUGCUUUGAUAUCCUAAGGAACACCGGUAGCGAAAGCGGCUCACUGGGUCUUUGCUGACGCUGAGGCACGAAAGCUAGGGGAGCGAACGGG
rnacentral:rRNA from 1 species